UAGGGAAUCUUCCGCAAUGGACGAAAGGCUGACGGAGCAACGCCGCGUGAGUGAAGAAGGAUUUCGGUUCGUAAAACUCUGUUGUUAGGGAAGAAAAAAUGUAUAGUAACUAUAUACAAAAGAGACGGUACCUAACCAGAAAGCCACGGCUAACUACGUGCCAGCAGCCGCGGUAAUACGUAGGUGGCAAGCGUUGUCCGGAAUUAUUGGGCGUAAAGCGCGCGCAGGUGGUUUAGAAAGUCUGCUGUGAAAGCCCACGGCUCAACCGUGGAGGGUCAUUGGAAACUAAUAAACUUGAGUGCAGGAGAGAAAAGUGGAAUUCCUAGUGUAGCGGUGAAAUGCGUAGAGAUUAGGAGGAACACCGGUGGCGAAAGCGGCUUUUUGGCCUGCAACUGACACUGAGGCGCGAAAGCGUGGGGAGCAAACAGG
rnacentral:rRNA from 1 species